GCGCCCUCAUUUGGGGAGUAGCUGAUUUCCAGAUUCCGGAAAUGUACGUGUCAACAUACUCGUUGCAAAACGUGGCACGUACGGACUGAACACUUUCAGUCAGGCGAGACCAUAUGCACAUCA
rnacentral:misc_RNA from 4 species